rnacentral:rRNA from 1 species
CGUGCAGGCGGUUUCGUAAGUCGGACGUGAAAGCUCCUGGCUUAACUGGGAGAGGUCGUUCGAUACUGCGGGGCUUGAGGUCGGGAGAGGGACGUGGAAUUCCCGGUGUAGUGGUGGAAUGCGUAGAUAUCGGGAGGAACACCAGUGGCGAAGGCGACGUCCUGGCCCGCACCUGACGCUGAGACGCGAAAGCGUGGGUAGCGAACGG